AGAGUUUGAUCAUGGCUCAGGAUGAACGCUAGCUACAGGCUUAACACAUGCAAGUCGAGGGGCAGCAUGUUGGUUGCUUGCAACCAACGAUGGCGACCGGCGCACGGGUGAGUAACGCGUAUCCAACCUACCCUUGUCCAUCGGAUAACCCGUCGAAAGGCGGCCUAACACGAUAUGCGGUUCACGGCAGGCAUCUAAGGUGAACGAAAUGUGAAGGAGAAGGAUGGGGAUGCGUCUGAUUAGCUUGUUGGCGGGGUAACGGCCACAAGGCUACGAUCAGUAGGGGUUCUGAGAGGAACGGUCCCCANAUUGGAACUGAGACACGGUCCAAACUCCGUACGGGAGCA
rnacentral:rRNA from 1 species